GACGAACGCUGGCGGCGUGCUUAACACAUGCAAGUCGAACGGAAAGGCCCUGCUUUUGUGGGGUGCUCGAGUGGCGAACGGGUGAGUAACACGUGAGUAACCUGCCCUUGACUUUGGGAUAACUUCAGGAAACUGGGGCUAAUACAGGAUAGGAGCUCCUGCUGCAUGGUGGGGGUUGGAAAGUUUCGGCGGUUGGGGAUGGACUCGCGGCUUAUCAGCUUGUUGGUGGGGUAGUGGCUUACCAAGGCUUUGACGGGUAGCCGGCCUGAGAGGGUGACCGGCCACAGUGGGACUGAGAUACGGCCCAGACUCCUACGGGAGGCAGCAGUGGGGAAUAUUGCACAAUGGGCGGAAGCCUGAUGCAGCAACGCCGCGUGCGGGAUGACGGCCUUCGGGUUGUAAACCGCUUUCGCCUGUGACGAAGCGUGAGUGACGGUAAUGGGUAAAGAAGCACCGGCUAACUACGUG
rnacentral:rRNA from 1 species